rnacentral:lncRNA from 1 species
UGCUUGUGCCGUUGUGUCCCCUUCCCAUGUGCGUGCUAUGUGCGCGUAAUUCCUUCGUUGCUUGUAUGUUUUGCAUAUCGCCGCUGAACUUGCGACUAAUUCGGGUGAAAGUAGAGGCACAAUGUCGGGGGACAACGUAAUGCCCAAGAUUGACGUUCAGAAGGAGCUGAGUGGAUCGGCGCAGUUAAACUACAUGAAGAUUAUAGAAAGGGAGAACAUGGAGCGGGUGCGUAGGUUGAAGCGGAUCCGCCACCGAAACCUGAUGACGGGGUUUCUCCUUGCCGGAGGAGUGUGUGGCAUAUUUGCGUACUCUGUGCUCGCCGUGAAGCAGGAGAAAUUUCUAGACAACUUCGAAGAGCCUGCUCCAAAGUAGACAAGAUGAUGUCCAGUGUUUAUUUGUGUACAAACUUAUCUUUUUCCUCCAUGCUCAACAUGC